rnacentral:rRNA from 1 species
AUGGCGCGCAGGAGGGGCGUCGCCGCGGCGGUGGCGGCGGCCGCGACCUCCCCGGCCCUCGUGGCGGCCGUCUCCUUGAUGGCACUGGUGUACUACUACACGGUGUUCGUCUUGCUGAACCACUGGCUCGGCCUCGGCACGACGGCCGGCGCCGCCCACGCGGCCGCCUUCUCCCUCCUCCUCGCCGCCUGUUUCUUCUCCUUCCUCUGCGCCGCGGCCGCCGAUCCCGGAUCCGUGCCCUCUGCCUUCUCCCCCGACGCCGAGGACCCGCAGGGACAGGGACUGAAAUCAAGGUAUUGUGACAAGUGUUGCAUCAACAAGCCUGCUCGAACCCACCAUUGUAAGGUCUGCAAAAGGUGUAUUCUGAAAAUGGAUCACCACUGUGUUUGGAUUAACAACUGUGUGGGCUAUGCAAAUUACAAAGCCUUUAUCAUCUGCGUCCUGAAUGCAACCAUUGGGUCCCUUUAUUCAUUGGUGAUAUUUGUAUGUGAUCUUCUACGAACAGAGCAUGACUUUAGUAUUCUUUAUGUGAAGAUCAUCCAUAUCUUGGCUGGUGUUGUCUUAUUCUCCUUGUGCUUGACAAUAGGUUCUUUGUUAUGCUGGCACAUCUAUCUCAUAUGUCAUAACAUGACAACCAUAGAGUAUCGAGAAGCAGUUAGAGCGAAGUGGCUUGCAAAAAAGAGUGGACAGAAUUACCGCCACCGGUUUGAUCAGGGCACGAGGAAGAAUAUUCAAAUGAUCAUGGGCCCAAACGUUUUCUGCUGGCUUUGCCCCACUGCGACAGGACAUCUUAAGGAUGGCACCGAGUUCCAGAAUACGAACAACUGA